rnacentral:rRNA from 1 species
CGGAACGGGUGAGUAAUAUAUGGAACGUGCCCAGUAGUGGGGGAUAACUGCUCGAAAGAGCAGCUAAUACCGCAUACGACCUGAGGGUGAAAGGGGGGGAGUCGCAAGACCUCUCGCUAUUGGAGCGGCCGAUAUCAGAUUAGCUAGUUGGUGGGGUAAAGGCCUACCAAGGCAACGAUCUGUAGUUGGUCUGAGAGGACGACCAGCCACACUGGGACUGAGACACGGCCCAG